rnacentral:ribozyme from 1 species
AAGAGCAAACAAAAAAAAAAGUUGCAAAUCUGAGUGUUCAUACCCAUCCAUAUUUUUUUUUUUUUUUUUUUUUUGGAAUUAUGUGUUCA